CCUACGGGAUGCAGCAGUGGGGAAUAUUGCACAAUGGGGGAAACCCUGAUGCAGCAACGCCGCGUGAGCGAAGAAGGCCUUUGGGUCGUAAAGCUCUGUCCUAAGGGAAGAACAAAUGACGGUACCUUAGGAGGAAGCCCCGGCUAACUACGUGCCAGCAGCCGCGGUAAUACGUAGGGGGCAAGCGUUAUCCGGAAUCAUUGGGCGUAAAGGGUGCGUAGGCGGUCAAUAAAGUCAAGGGUGAAAGGCUACGGCUUAACCGUAGUAAGCCUAUGAAACUUAAUGACUUGAGUGCAGGAGAGGUAAGUGGAAUUCCUAGUGUAGCGGUGAAAUGCGUAGAUAUUAGGAGGAACACCAGUGGCGAAGGCGACUUACUGGACUGUAACUGACGCUGAGGCACGAAAGCGUGGGGAGCGAACAGGAUUAGAUACCCCAGUAGUCC
rnacentral:rRNA from 1 species